GAUGAACGCUGGCGGCGUGCCUAAUACAUGCAAGUCGAGCGAACAGAUGAGAAGCUUGCUUCUCUGAUGUUAGCGGCGGACGGGUGAGUAACACGUGGGUAACCUACCUAUAAGACUGGGAUAACUCCGGGAAACCGGUGCUAAUACCGGAUAACAUUUAGAACCGCAUGGUUCUAAAGUGAAAGAUGGUUUUGCUAUCACUUAUAGAUGGACCCGCGCCGUAUUAGCUAGUUGGUAAGGUAACGGCUUACCAAGGCGACGAUACGUAGCCGACCUGAGAGGGUGAUCGGCCACACUGGAACUGAGACACGGUCCAGACUCCUACGGGAGGCAGCAGUAGGGAAUCUUCCGCAAUGGGCGAAAGCCUGACGGAGCAACGCCGCGUGAGUGAUGAAGGGUUUCGGCUCGUAAAACUCUGUUAUUAGGGAAGAACAAAUGUGUAAGUAACUGUGCACAUCUUGACGGUACCUAAUCAGAAAGCCACGGCUAACUCCGUGCCAGCCGCCGCAGUAA
rnacentral:rRNA from 1 species